GACGAACGCUGGCGGCGCGCUUAACACAUGCAAGUCGAACGGAAAGGCCUGCUUUCCCUUGUGGAUUGCGGGUACUCGCGUGGCGAACGGGUGAGUAACACGUGAGUGAUCUGCCCCCAACUUGGGUAUAAGCCUGGGAAACUGGGUCUAAUUCCCGAUAGGACUGCAGGGUGGUGCCUGUGGUGGAAAACGAUUUUCUAGUGGUUGGGGAUGAGCUCGCGGCCUAUCAGCUUGUUGGUGGGGUAAUGGCCUACCAAGGCGGCGACGGGUAGCCGGCCUGGGAGGGUGGACGGCCACAGUGGGACUGAGAUACGGCCCAGACUCCUACGGGAGGCAGCAGUGGGGAAUAUUGCACAAUGGGCGGAAGCCUGAUGCAGCGACGCCGCGUGGGGGAUGACGGCCUUCGGGUUGUAAACUCCUUUCGACAGCGAGGAAGCCACCUGGUUGGAAGGGUGGUGACGGUAGUGGUAGAAGAAGCACCGGCUAACUACGUG
rnacentral:rRNA from 1 species